CAUAGGUUAAUGAGGCGAACCGGGGGAACUGAAACAUCUAAGUACCCCGAGGAAAAGAAAUCAACCGAGAUUCCCCCAGUAGCGGCGAGCGAACGGGGAGCAGCCCAGAGCCUGAAUCAGUGUGUGUGUUAGUGGAAGCGUCUGGAAAGGCGCGCGAUACAGGGUGACAGCCCCGUACACAAAAAUGCACAUGCUGUGAGCUCGAUGAGUAGGGCGGGACACGUGGUAUCCUGUCUGAAUAUGGGGGGACCAUCCUCCAAGGCUAAAUACUCCUGACUGACCGAUAGUGAACCAGUACCGUGAGGGAAAGGCGAAAAGAACCCCGGCGAGGGGAGUGAAAAAGAACCUGAAACCGUGUACGUACAAGCAGUGGGAGCCUCUUUAUGGGGUGACUGCGUACCUUUUGUAUAAUGGGUCAGCGACUUAUAUUCUGUAGCAAGGUUAACCGAAUAGGGGAGCCGAAGGGAAACCGAGUCUUAACUGGGCGUUAAGUUGCAGGGUAUAGACCCGAAACCCGGUGAUCUAGCCAUGGGCAGGUUGAAGGUUGGGUAACACUAACUGGAGGACCGAACCGACUAAUGUUGAAAAAUUAGCGGAUGACUUGUGGCUGGGGGUGAAAGGCCAAUCAAACCGGGAGAUAGCUGGUUCUCCCCGAAAGCUAUUUAGGUAGCGCCUCGUGAAUUCAUCUCCGGGGGUAGAGCACUGUUUCGGCAAGGGGGUCAUCCCGACUUACCAACCCGAUGCAAACUGCGAAUACCGGAGAAUGUUAUCACGGGAGACACACGGCGGGUGCUAACGUCCGUCGUGAAGAGGGAAACAACCCAGACCGCCAGCUAAGGUCCCAAAGUCAUGGUUAAGUGGGAAACGAUGUGGGAAGGCCCAGACAGCCAGGAUGUUGGCUUAGAAGCAGCCAUCAUUUAAAGAAAGCGUAAUAGCUCACUGGUCGAGUCGGCCUGCGCGGAAGAUGUAACGGGGCUAAACCAUGCACCGAAGCUGCGGCAGCGACGCUUAUGCGUUGUUGGGUAGGGGAGCGUUCUGUAAGCCUGUGAAGGUGUGCUGUGAGGCAUGCUGGAGGUAUCAGAAGUGCGAAUGCUGACAUAAGUAACGAUAAAGCGGGUGAAAAGCCCGCUCGCCGGAAGACCAAGGGUUCCUGUCCAACGUUAAUCGGGGCAGGGUGAGUCGACCCCUAAGGCGAGGCCGAAAGGCGUAGUCGAUGGGAAACAGGUUAAUAUUCCUGUACUUGGUGUUACUGCGAAGGGGGGACGGAGAAGGCUAUGUUGGCCGGGCGACGGUUGUCCCGGUUUAAGCGUGUAGGCUGGUUUUCCAGGCAAAUCCGGAAAAUCAAGGCUGAGGCGUGAUGACGAGGCACUACGGUGCUGAAGCAACAAAUGCCCUGCUUCCAGGAAAAGCCUCUAAGCAUCAGGUAACAUCAAAUCGUACCCCAAACCGACACAGGUGGUCAGGUAGAGAAUACCAAGGCGCUUGAGAGAACUCGGGUGAAGGAACUAGGCAAAAUGGUGCCGUAACUUCGGGAGAAGGCACGCUGAUAUGUAGGUGAGGUCCCUCGCGGAUGGAGCUGAAAUCAGUCGAAGAUACCAGCUGGCUGCAACUGUUUAUUAAAAACACAGCACUGUGCAAACACGAAAGUGGACGUAUACGGUGUGACGCCUGCCCGGUGCCGGAAGGUUAAUUGAUGGGGUUAGCGGUAACGCGAAGCUCUUGAUCGAAGCCCCGGUAAACGGCGGCCGUAACUAUAACGGUCCUAAGGUAGCGAAAUUCCUUGUCGGGUAAGUUCCGACCUGCACGAAUGGCGUAAUGAUGGCCAGGCUGUCUCCACCCGAGACUCAGUGAAAUUGAACUCGCUGUGAAGAUGCAGUGUACCCGCGGCAAGACGGAAAGACCCCGUGAACCUUUACUAUAGCUUGACACUGAACAUUGAGCCUUGAUGUGUAGGAUAGGUGGGAGGCUUUGAAGUGUGGACGCCAGUCUGCAUGGAGCCGACCUUGAAAUACCACCCUUUAAUGUUUGAUGUUCUAACGUUGACCCGUAAUCCGGGUUGCGGACAGUGUCUGGUGGGUAGUUUGACUGGGGCGGUCUCCUCCUAAAGAGUAACGGAGGAGCACGAAGGUUGGCUAAUCCUGGUCGGACAUCAGGAGGUUAGUGCAAUGGCAUAAGCCAGCUUGACUGCGAGCGUGACGGCGCGAGCAGGUGCGAAAGCAGGUCAUAGUGAUCCGGUGGUUCUGAAUGGAAGGGCCAUCGCUCAACGGAUAAAAGGUACUCCGGGGAUAACAGGCUGAUACCGCCCAAGAGUUCAUAUCGACGGCGGUGUUUGGCACCUCGAUGUCGGCUCAUCACAUCCUGGGGCUGAAGUAGGUCCCAAGGGUAUGGCUGUUCGCCAUUUAAAGUGGUACGCGAGCUGGGUUUAGAACGUCGUGAGACAGUUCGGUCCCUAUCUGCCGUGGGCGCUGGAGAACUGAGGGGGGCUGCUCCUAGUACGAGAGGACCGGAGUGGACGCAUCACUGGUGUUCGGGUUGUCAUGCCAAUGGCACUGCCCGGUAGCUAAAUGCGGAAGAGAUAAGUGCUGAAAGCAUCUAAGCACGAAACUUGCCCCGAGAUGAGUUCUCCCUGACUCCUUGAG
rnacentral:rRNA from 1 species